GUGAGGAAUUUUCCGCAAUGGGCGAAAGCCUGACGGAGCAAUGCCGCGUGAAGGAUGAAGGCCUAUGGGUUGUAAACUUCUUUUCUCAGAAAAGAAUUAUGACGGUAUCUGAGGAAUAAGCAUCGGCUAACUCUGUGCCAGCAGCCGCGGUAAGACAGAGGAUGCAAGCGUUAUCCGGAAUGAUUGGGCGUAAAGCGUCUGUAGGUUGCUUAAAAAGUAUUCUGUCAAAGAUUAGGGCUUAACCCUAGAUAGGCAGAAUAAACUUUUAAGCUAGAGUUUGGUAGAGGCAGAGGGAAUUCCCGGUGGAGCGGUGAAAUGCGUAGAUAUCGGGAGGAACACCAAAGGCGAAGGCACUCUGCUGGGCCAAUACUAACACUGAGAGACGAAAGCGAGGGGAGCAAAUGGGAUUAGAAACCCCAGUAGUCC
rnacentral:rRNA from 1 species